rnacentral:lncRNA from 1 species
AGGUAUUUAAAAGACUGCCCUGUUUCAGGAGAUUGACUUCUUUAUGGCUCCAGAAGGCAACAUUAGGACCAGCAGGUAGAAGGGAUGGAGGCAGAUGAUCAGCUCGAUAUCGGAAUGAAAGCUGCAACAGAUGGAAUGUAUUGAAGUUGGAGAGGGCUGCUGAUUGAGACCACCAGGGAUGUAGAAGAGGCUGUUGGGGAAGUUGUCAGGAGAUGACUGCACUGGCUAGGAGUUGAACGAGAAGGUUAUGCCCCUCUGGGAUGCUCAACGUGCUGUGUGUGGUUCUCUGCCCCCAUCCCUGCUUCCUGGGACCAGGCCAGCCAUGUGACUGCCUCCCUCCCCUGCGGGCAGCAGCAGAACAGCUUCGGCAGAAGGAUCUGAGGAUUUCCCAGCUGCAGGCUGAUCUCCGUCGCCCACCCCCUGCCCCUGCCCAGCCCCCCGAACCUGAGGCCCUGCCUACUAUCUAUGUUGUUACCCCCACCUACGCCAGGUACGGGCUCUGGUACGCCCAGGAGGCCUGGCACUGGCCAGGAGGUGGGGGUUGGGGAGGAGUCUGGGGAGUCACCGGGCCAGGGGGUGUUUCUCAAACUAGGGCAUGCCAAGUGACAGGAUAAAUGAGCCACAUCUUUCCUCAAAGAUGUGUGAGAAAAUGGUUGUUUUUCCAUUGAAAUGGACAGGGGUACACUGUGAAAUCGAAUACACAGCUCCUGCCAAAGUUUAAGAUAGAGCCAUAUAGUUUCAAAGAAACGUCGAGCUUGCCCGAGUUCACUCUCUCUCAGGGAUCCUUUGGGGAGAAAGCUUGAGCUCCCCUGACUCAAUUGAAAUAGAAAAGGCCUUGGCCUUAUGUCACACCAGUUACGCCAGCUGUGAUUUACAGUGUGUUUACUCUCUACCAGGCACUGUGCUAAGGGCUCUCCUUUUUUUUUUUUUAAUUUUUAAUGUUUAUGUAUUUCUGAGACAGAGAGAGACAGAGCAUGAGUGGGGGAAGGGCAGAGAGAGAGAGAGAGAGGGAGACACAGAAUCCGAAGCAGGCUCCAGGCUCUGAGCUGUCAGCGCAGGGCCCAACGCGGGGCUCGAACUCACAAACCGUGAGAUCAUGACCUGAGCCGAAGUCAGUCCCUCAACCGACUAAGCCACCCAGGCACUCCUACUUUUUUUUUUUUUUAUUAAAAUAUAGCUUUAUUAUUGAUACAAACCAACUGGGGAACAUGGUUUUGGGUCUGUCGCUAAAGAGCCUACUAACUCCUCCCUGGAAUCAGAUGGCUGACCCAUCUAGGCACAGCCAGCUGUCAACCCCGUCCCCUUACACACAUGCAGCACCAACCCUGGGACGGACAGACUGAUCUGAAGGAUCAAGAAGCCUAGAAGGAUAAACUGGGCCACACCUUCCCAGUUUCUUGUCUAAACUCUGGAAAAUUCCCUGGAGAGGAAGGAGGCAAAGGACUCCUCUAAAUACCUCUAUCUGGAAACCCAAACAUAGGAGGAAGAGGACCUGGUCCUAAGGGUAUUUUAGAAAGUCAUUAUAAUUUAAUCUUCAAGAUGACAUUGUUGUAAAGUACCGUUCAUCCCAUUUGAUAGCAGAGGAAACAGGUUUGGGGAGAUCUGACCCAUUUCCCCCCAGUGUCUUACCUAAUAAGUAACAGAACUGGCAUUCAAACCCAGAGCUGAUUCCAAAGCCUGUGCCCCUUAACGUGUAGUCUCCCACAGCCAGAGCCCUUGGGUUGAGGCGAGUGACAGACACGGGCUGUACGAACAGGGGAGGUGAAUGAAUGCAGUGUGAAAUUGACAAGCGAGAAAAGGAGUUUGGAUAUUGGCUGGGGAAAGACCACGGGGGAUACUAGAAGGGGCUCAGGCGAAGCUAUGUAUACUGGCUGGAGUGAGUAAACGGUGCCCACCCCUCGCCCUCCUCUUCAUCUCUCCCCCUGCAGGCUGGUGCAAAAAGCAGAGCUUGUGCGGCUGUCCCAGACGCUGAGCCUGGUGCCCCGGCUGCACUGGCUGCUGGUGGAGGAUGCUGAAGGCCCCAGCCCAUUGGUCUCUGGGCUGCUGGCGGCCUCGGGCCUCCUCUUCACACACCUGGCAGUCCUCACCCCCAAGGCCCAGCGGCUCAGGGAGGGUGAGCCAGG